CUCAGCCUUCCUCUGGGCCCUUUACUGUAAUGCAUAAUUUGUAUUAAUCGUGUUAAAAUAAGAUUGCGUUGACGCAUAAACUCACAUAUACACACACAGUGACACCCAUAUAUAAACACACACAUGCAUAUUCAAACAAGCGUGCACACAAACACUAAACACGCAUAUAUGAACACACACACGUACAUAUAUAAAGACACACAAGUGCACACAUGCAUAUAUAAACGCACAUAUACACACACACACAAACACACGUGCACAUCCACAUGUAUAUAUAAACACACACAGGAUUUGGGCUUCUGGAAGUUGAUCUCUAUAAAUCCUGAAAGGAAGAGACUUAAGAUCUUCCAUGAGGUUAACUAAGCAGGUUUUACAAAGAAUAUAUUUCGAAUGACAAAUGCAUUUUAAAUAUUGAUUGAUAGUGAAUCAAAAUAUGUUUAUACUACAAUAUUGUGUAUAAUUUCAGACGUUAACUGUUUCAUAAUGCAAGGCUCUGAUAUCAGUUUUAUAUUCAUAAUGCAAGUGAUCAAUUCAUGUGCCUGAAAAGGCAUAUCAAUUGAUCACUUGCAUUGUGAAGGAAAUAUGCUUAGUUACUUUUCUUAUUUGAGAAAUAACUUGAACCUCGUUUUUGUUUUUUGAUUUUUCAUGCUUUUCGUUUCAUGUCAUUUUUUUGAUAUGUUUGAUUUUUAUUGAUAGAGGGAAUACCUUCAGUGAAUUGUAAUUCUUGCAUACAGGCUACAAGGCAGUCUCUAGGCUUUAUGUGAAAAUGAAAAUGACCAAGCAUUUGUUUAUAAUUCAUUUGAAAAAAAAGUCUGUAUAAUCAGCAACCACUCACCAAACAGACGGAGAGAACAUCACCCAAUUGGGUUAUAUCCUAAUACAUUUCAUUACACAACAGUACUUUAAUCUAUUGUCUGGAUUGAUAUUAAUGUACUUAAUGCACUGGUCUAUGAAAUCAAACUAAGUAGAUGAGAAUGUAUGUCGAUGCAUUUUAAUGCAUAGUUUUAUAAUUGUGAACACGAAAACAUACACAGGCCUAAUAAAAACAGUUUUUUUGCAAAUACAAA